rnacentral:rRNA from 1 species
CCCGCGGGGGGAUUGCCUAGUACGGCGAGUGAGCGGCAACAGCUCAAAUUUGAAAGCUGGCUUAGGCCCGCAUUGUAAUUUGCAGAGGAUGCUUCUGGCGAGGUGCCUUCCGAGUUCCCUGGAACGGGACGCCAUAGAGGGUGAGAGCCCCGUAUGGAUGGACACCAAACCUGUGUGAAGCUCCUUCAACGAGUCGAGUAGUUUGGGAAUGCUGCUCUAAAUGGGAGGUAAAUCUCUUCUAAAGCUAAAUACCGGCCAGAGACCGAUAGCGCACAAGUAGAGUGAUCGAAAGAUGAAAAGCACCUUGAAAAGGGGGUUAAACAGUACGUGAAAUUGUUGAAAGGGAAGCGCUUGUGACCAGACUUGCGCCGGGCAGCUCAUCAGGGGUUCUCCCCUGUGCACUCUGCCCGGCUCAGGCCAGCAUCGGUUCUUGUGGGAGGAUAAGAACGGUAGGAACGUGGCCCCCUUUCGGGGGGGUGUUAUAGCCUACCGUACGAUACUCCCGUGGGGACCGAGGUUCGCGCUCCGCAAGGAUGCUGGCGUAAUGGUCAUCAGCGACCCGUCUUGAAACCACGGACCA